AGCUUUGUGCAGUGGCAGUAUCAUAGCCAAUGAGGUUUAUCCGAGGCAUGAUUAUUGCUAAUUGAAAAAUUGA
rnacentral:snRNA from 1 species